rnacentral:rRNA from 1 species
GACGAACGCUGGCGGCGUGCCUAAUACAUGCAAGUAGAACGCUGAGGUUUGGUGCUUACACUAGACUGAUGAGUUGCGAACGGGUGAGUAACGCGUAGGUAACCUGCCUCAUAGCGGGGGAUAACUAUUGGAAACGAUAGCUAAUACCGCAUAAGAGUAAUUAACACAUGUUGGUUAUUUAAAAGGAGCAAUUGCUUCACUGUGAGAUGGACCUGCGUUGUAUUAGCUAGUUGGUGAGGUAAAGGCUCACCAAGGCGACGAUACAUAGCCGACCUGAGAGGGUGAUCGGCCACACUGGGACUGAGACACGGCCCAGACUCCUACGGGAGGCAGCAGUAGGGAAUCUUCGGCAAUGGACGGAAGUCUGACCGAGCAACGCCGCAUGAGUGAAGAAGGUUUUCGGAUCGUAAAGCUCUGUUGUUAGAGAAGAACGUUGGUAGGAGUGGAAAAUCUACCAAGUGACGGUAACUAACCAGAAAGGGACGGCUAACUACGUGCCAGCAGCCGCGGUAAUACGUAGGUCCCGAGCGUUGUCCGGAUUUAUUGGGCGUAAAGCGAGCGCAGGCGGUUCUUUAAGUCUGAAGUUAAGGGCAGUGGCUUAACCAUUGUACGCUUUGGAAACUGGAGGACUUGAGUGCAGAAGGGGAGAGUGGAAUUCCAUGUGUAGCGGUGAAAUGCGUAGAUAUAUGGAGGAACACCGGUGGCGAAAGCGGCUCUCUGGUCUGUAACUGACGCUGAGGCUCGAAAGCGUGGGGAGCAAACAGGAUUAGAUACCCUGGUAGUCCACGCCGUAAACGAUGAGUGCUAGGUGUUAGGCCCUUUCCGGGGCUUAGUGCCGCAGCUAACGCAUUAAGCACUCCGCCUGGGGAGUACGACCGCAAGGUUGAAACUCAAAGGAAUUGACGGGGGCCCGCACAAGCGGUGGAGCAUGUGGUUUAAUUCGAGGCAACGCGAAGAACCUUACCAGGUCUUGACAUCCUUCUGACCGGCCUAGAGAUAGGCUUUCUCUUCGGAGCAGAAGUGACAGGUGGUGCAUGGUUGUCGUCAGCUCGUGUCGUGAGAUGUUGGGUUAAGUCCCGCAACGAGCGCAACCCCUAUUGUUAGUUGCCAUCAUUAAGCUGGGCACUCUAGCGAGACUGCCGGUAAUAAACCGGAGGAAGGUGGGGAUGACGUCAAAUCAUCAUGCCCCUUAUGACCUGGGCUACACACGUGCUACAAUGGUUGGUACAACGAGUCGCAAGCCGGUGACGGCAAGCUAAUCUCUUAAAGCCAAUCUCAGUUCGGAUUGUAGGCUGCAACUCGCCUACAUGAAGUCGGAAUCGCUAGUAAUCGCGGAUCAGCACGCCGCGGUGAAUACGUUCCCGGGCCU